UCCGAGUUGACCCCGGCAGUCUCCUACGAGUCCCCGGCAUUACCCGCUGGCAACAUAGGACAAGGGUUGCGCUCGUUGCGGGACUUAACCCAACAUCUCACGACACGAGCUGACGACGGCCAUGCAGCACCUGUGUUCUGGUUCUCUUUCGAGCACUUUCACAUCUCUGCAAAAUUCCAGACAUGUCAAGGGUAGGUAAGGUUUUUCGCGUUGCGUCGAAUUAAACCACAUCAUCCACCGCUUGUGCGGGCCCCCGUCAAUUCCUUUGAGUUUUAAUCUUGCGACCGUACUCCCCAGGCGGUCGACUUCACGCGUUAGCUGCGUUACUGAAGAAUCAAGUUCCCCAACAACUAGUCGACAUCGUUUAGGGCGUGGACUAC
rnacentral:misc_RNA from 1 species